AUGUCAUCCUCUCCAGCAGCGGGAGGCUCCUCCAGCAGCGUGCUCGGGUCCCCACCGAGCUUCCCCCUCUGCCACUACGUGAGUGCAGGUGUGUGCGGAGCCGAGCCGGGCUGGAGCUGCGCUGCGCUCGGCUGGGCUGGGUUGGGCAGGGCUGGGCUGGGCUGGGCUGGGCUGGGCUGUGCCGGCUGCUCCAGGCUGCGCUGGACUGUUGGGCUGGGCUGGGCUGAGCCGGGCUGCGGGCAGCGGCGAGGACCCCCCACUCCCCAGCCAGCCAGCCCGCGGUUAUGCGCCCCCGGGCUCCGCUCCGAGAGCCCCCCACUGCCAGGCUGGCCGGCCGGGCAGCCGCUUCAGGGUCGUGGGGCUGGGGCCGCGCCCCCGCCAGCUGAUCGGAGCCCCUGGAUGUGUCUGUCCGUGGAGGAGGCCGCUGCUGCUGGCGCUGCGCUGGAGGUCCGAGAGGGAGCCCGCGGGCUUGGAAGGCAGCGGGCCGCUGCGCGCUUGGGAAUCCGCCUGGGGCCCAGAUUACUGAGGAGCUGCACGGGGCCCGGCGGCGGCGGCGGCGGCAGCGGCGGCCGCGGCCGCUCCAAUUCCGGACUUGUAUUUUUAAACGCCUCCGAGGAGACCGAAAGCGCAGCCCUGACCCUCUGCAGCCUUAGAAUGAGCCAAGAAAUUCACAUUUUGCAGGAAGUGAAACUGAGACCCAGCUGAGGAACAACCCAAUUUCUGCAGGUAGGUUGAGCCAGCCCGCUGGAAUUUGAGGGUUGUCUGUGGAAGUUGGCAAGGCUCAC
rnacentral:lncRNA from 1 species